CCUACGGGCGGCAGCAGUGGGGAAUAUUGGGCAAUGGGCGCAAGCCUGACCCAGCAACGCCGCGUGAAGGAAGAAGGCUUUCGGGUUGUAAACUUCUUUUGACAGGGAAGAGUAGAAGACGGUACCUGUCGAAUAAGCCACGGCUAACUACGUGCCAGCAGCCGCGGUAAUACGUAGGUGGCAAGCGUUGUCCGGAUUUACUGGGGGUAAGGGGCGGGGAGCCGGGUGGAAAAUUAAAAUGUGAAAUCCUGGGGCUAAACCGCAGACCUGCAUUUGAAACUGUUGAUCUGGAGUACUGGAGAGGCAGACGGAAUUCCUAGUGUAGCGGUGAAAUGCGUAGAUAUUAGGAGGAACACCAGUGGCGAAGGCGGUCUGCUGGACAGCAACUGACGGUGAGGCGCGAAAGCGUGGGGAGCAAACAGGAUUAGAUACCCUAGUAGUC
rnacentral:rRNA from 1 species